UUCCUCACCACUUUCCUACAACUGGGAGAACUUUUUCAAAAUUCCUUCUGAUGCAAUUUAAAAUUAAAUUUCAAUAGGAUAUUUUUUUCUUCCGUUAUCUUGCCACAGUAAGGACUGUUCUGCACAAUCCAUUUACUGAAGAAAAGCAGCGGUACAAUUUUAAAACUGAAAAGCUCUUUUUUCCUGUUUUUUUAUUAGAAGACGCAUGUUUGUAUUUCAUAAUAAAUGUUCCCCUGGCAGAAAUUCUUAGUUCACCUUGAUGUAUUUUAAUCAGCUUUGUUCUCAGUGCUGCACAGUAGCCUUGUCCACAUAGACAGGCCAAACAGGGCAGCUGGCUUGCAGUAAGAGCCCAGCAAUGAUUAUUGUGAUGCAUGUUUGUGCCGACCUCCUCCAAGAAUGCAAUGAUUCAAAGUCCACUAAGCUUUUGUUAAAACUGUACCUGUUUUAUUUUAGGUAAAACAAGUGAUGUUUGUUAGGUAAAAAUGAGAUAGUAACACUGAAGGAAACUUCUGUUUUGUUUUUAGCCUGCCUCUCCCUCCAUUUUUGGGUGAGAUCUUUACAUGAGAGACAACACAGAUCAAGACAUGCCUGGAAAGCUGAGCACAAGAGAAAGAACAAUGGAACAAUGAAAGGAAAUGCCUCUUCCCUUCCCGAGGCAACUCAGACUGAAAGGAAUGCCUGGACUGAAGCUGGACAGUUACUUAGUAAGCUGUGUUAGGAAGGUACCAAUAAAAAAGAAGGAUUUCAAAUGAUUUCCGUACGCUAUUUUGAAACAAUGAGAACAGAAUUAUCUAUGAACCAUCUCUGCUUUGAAAGCCACCAGGAGGCCUGGCCUUCCCAGGAGAGCACCAAUAGCAGCAAAGCACUUGGCUACCUCUUU
rnacentral:lncRNA from 1 species